rnacentral:lncRNA from 1 species
AAUGCUCUGACAUUAACACCUCAUUCUGUCUCUGGAUCGCAAGCGGGAAAGAGGACUCAACGCAGAGAUGCUCAAACAGGCAUUCUUCACCACCCUUGUUCUUCUGGCUUGCAGUGUGGCUCUCAUGGAAGGACUUCACCUCUCCAGCCGUGAGCGCUGUUUCUGCAGAUCACAAGCAACCGCUAGGUCUAUUUCGAACCUGGGCAAUGUGGCUAAAAUCGAAUACUUCAUGCCAAGCGGCAGCUGUAGUCAAGAGGAGCUGAUGGUGUACUUUACAAACGGUCGUAAAGUCUGUCUGAAGCUUAAUGGGGAGAAACGCAGGAGAAUUAAACGGGCCAUCGUGAAUGAAUAAAAAUGAAGUCCAAGCUGAGUUUUGGAGAAGCUGCUUCACAAAUACUUACUUGGGACGCGUAAUUAGCUUCUAAAUGAUUUAUAAUCUAUGAUACCCAAGUUGGGAGCCACUGGUCCAACAGUAUUAUUCUUACCAAGCUGUAUUAUUAACAGUAUUAUUCUUACAAGAGCCAUGCAAUGAAUCAAAAUUUCUGUGAUUUUCUCUUGAUUUUGACAUCUCUUACUAUGGAAGAGCUUCAUUCUUCCCAAUCAAGCAAGCAAUGACAGUGUCAUAUUGGCAUCCUUCAUUCCUGAACAUUUUAUGCUUGUCAUAACAUUACAAAUAAUCCUUGACUUAUGACCACAAUUGAACCCAAAUUGCCAUUGUUAAGCAAGACUGUUGUUAAGUGAGUUUUGCCCCAUUUCACAAUCUUCCUUAUCACGGUUCUUAAGUAAAUCACUACAGCUGUUUAGUUAGUAACCUGGGCCUUAAGUGAAUCUGGCCGAAAAAGGGAUCACACGAUCCCAGAACACUGCAAGCAUCAUAAAUAUGAAUCAGUUGCCAAGCAUCUGAAUUUUGAUCAAGUGAUGCCAGGGAUGCUAGAAUAGUCAAAACAGAGGUGGUAUUCAACAGGUUCUGACCAGUUCUGGAGAACCAAUAGUGGAAAUUUUGAGUAGGUCAGAGAACCGGCAAAUACCGCCUCUGACUGGCCCCGCCAACCCCAUCUGUUCUCUGCCUCCCGAGUCCCAGCUGGGUCUUCUUUGGUUGCCCUGCGCAGGAGAACGGAGCUGGAAAGCAGGUUAGUGCAGUGGGGAGGGAAUGGAGAUUUUGCAGUAACCUUCUCCUGCACUCCCACCAAGCCACGCCCACAGAACCGGUAGUAAAAAAAUUUGAAUCCCACCACUGAGUCAUAAGUAUGAAUAAGUCUCUUUUUUCAUUUCCGUGGUAAUUUCAACCUGUCACUAACUGAAUAAGUCAAGGACUACUUGUAUUUUAUGCUUGUUAUACCAUUACGGACAUCUGUUCCUAACCAUAUACUGUCCACGUUGUAAUGUUGCAGGCUGAGCUUCACCAUUAUUUAGUAGCAUUAUUUAGUAUAUAAGUCACAGAACUGAAUUCAUGACACCAACACACCAUAUCUUCCACUGAAUCCUCUGUGGACACCUAUGUAUACAAUUAACUAUAGUUAAAGAGUAUAUUUCUCCAAUAUUUCAAUAAAUAAAUUUCAAUAUUUCA